rnacentral:rRNA from 1 species
AGUGAACGCUGGCGGCAUGCCUAACACAUGCAAGUCGAGCGGCAGCGCGGGGGCAACCCUGGCGGCGAGCUGCGGACGGGUGAGGAAUUCGUCGGAAUCUGCCUUUUCUUGGGGGAUAACGUAGGUAAACUUACGCUAAUACCGCAUACGUCCUACGAGAGAAAGGGGGGGACCGCAAGUCCUCACGCGGAAUGAUGAGCCUACGACGUAUUAGCUAGUUGGUUGGGUAAAGGCCUACCAAGGCGACGAUCGGUAGCUGCUCUGAGAGGAUGAUCAGCCACACUGGGACUGAGACACGGCCCAGACUCCUACGGGAGGCAGCAGUGGGGAAUAUUGGACAAUGGGCGCAAGCCUGAUCCAGCCAUGCCGCGUGUGUGAAGAAGGCCUUCGGGUUGUAAAGCACUUUUGUCCGGAAAGAACACCUUGGAGCUAAUCCCUUCGCGGCAUGACGGUACCGGAACAAUAAGCCCCGGCUAACUUCGUG